rnacentral:rRNA from 1 species
GACGAACGCUGGCGGCGUGCUUAACACAUGCAAGUCGAACGAUGAAGCCGGAGCUUGCUCUGGUGAAUUAGUGGCGAACGGGUGAGUAACACGUGAGUAACCUGCCCUUGACUCUGGAAUAACUGCGGGAAACCGUAGCUAAUACCGGAUACGACCCUAGGAGGCACCCCCUGGGGGUGGAAAGACUUUCGGCCAAGGAUGGACUCGCGGUCUAUCAGCUGGUGGGUGAGGUAAUGGCUCACCAAGGCGAGGACGGGUAGCGCGGCCUGGGAGGGUGCCCGGCCACACUGGGACUGAGACACGGCCCAGACUCCUACGGGAGGCAGCAGUGGGGAAUAUUGCACAAUGGGCGCAAGCCUGAUGCAGCAACGCCGCGUGAGGGAUGACGGCCUUCGGGUUGUAAACCUCUUUUAGCAGGGAAGAAGCGAAAGUGACGGUACCUGCAGAAAAAGCACCGGCUAACUACGUGCCAGCAGCCGCGGUAA